AACGUAGGAGACAAACGUUAUCCGGAAUUACUGGGCGUAAAGCGUGCGCAGGCGGUUUUGUAAGCCAGAUGUGAAAUCCCCGGGCUUAACCUGGGAAUGGCAUUUGGGACUGCAAGGCUGGAGUGCGGCAGAGGAGACUGGAAUUCCUGGUGUAGCAGUGAAAUGCGUAGAUAUCAGGAGGAACACCGAUGGCGAAGGCAGGUCUCUGGGCUGACACUGACGCUCAUGCACGAAAGCGUGGGGAGCAAACAGG
rnacentral:rRNA from 1 species